rnacentral:rRNA from 1 species
GAUGAACGCUGGCGGCGUGCCUAAUACAUGCAAGUAGAACGCUGAAGGAGGAGCUUGCUCUUCUGGAUGAGUUGCGAACGGGUGAGUAACGCGUAGGUAACCUGCCUGGUAGCGGGGGAUAACUAUUGGAAACGAUAGCUAAUACCGCAUGACAACAGUUAUUGCAUGAUAACUGUUUAAAAGGGGCAACUGCUCCACUACCAGAUGGACCUGCGUUGUAUUAGCUAGUUGGUGAGGUAACGGCUCACCAAGGCGACGAUACAUAGCCGACCGGGGAAGGUGAUCCGCCACACUGGGACGGAGACAAGGCCCAGACUCCUUCGGGGAGGAGCAGUAGGGGAACUUCGGCAAUGGACGGAAAGCUGACCGAGCAACGCCGCGUGAGUGAAGAAGGGUUUCGGAUCGUAAAGCUCUGUUGUAAGGGAAGAACGAGUGUGAGAGUGGAAAGUUCACACUGUGACGGUAUCUUACCAGAAAGGGACGGCUAACUACGUG